rnacentral:rRNA from 1 species
GAAACUGCGAAUGGCUCAUUAAAACAGUUAUAGUUUAUUUGGUGGUCAACGGUUAUUUGGAUAACUGCGGGAAUUCUGGAGCUAAUACAUGCGAAAAGGCGUGACUUUACGGAAACGUCGUAUUUAUUAGGUACAAAACCAGUCCCUUCGGGGUUAUUGAUGAUUCAUAAUAAACGUACGAAGCGCAUGAUUUGUUAUCGGCGCUGGUCCAUUCAAGUUUCUGACCUAUCAGCUUUCGAUGGUAGUGUAUUGGACUACCAUGGCAUUGACGGGUAACGGAGAAUUAGGGUUCGAUUCCGGAGAGGGGGCCCGAGAAACGGCCACCACAUCUAAGGAAGGCAGCAGGCGCGCAAAUUACCCAAUCCUGAUACAGGGAGGUAGUGACAAGAAAUAACAAAGUAAGCCUUAUUUGAGGUUUUACUAUUGGAAUGAGUGGAAUACAAAACAAUUCACGACUAACAAUUGGAGGGCAAGUCUGGUGCCAGCAGCCGCGGUAAUUCCAGCUCCAAUAGCGUAUAUUAAAGUUGUUGCGGUUAAAAAGCUCGUAGUUGGAUUUCUUCUAGGGAUGGCGGGUCUCCUUCUUAAGGAUGUAUCUUUGCCAGCCUUGGAAUCCUCUUGAAAUCCGUUUUUGUGUUUCACUACAUGAUUCGGCGUUCAAGACAUUUACUUUGAGGAAAUUAGAGUGUUCAUAGCAAGCAAACGCUUUGAAUAUAUUAGCAUGGAAUAAUAAUAUAAGACUAAGUACUUAUUUUGUUGGUUUCUAGGGGCUUAGUAAUGAUAAAUAGGGAUAAUUGGGGGUAUUCGUAUUGACACGUCAGAGGUGGAAUUCUUGGAUUGUGUCACGACGAACUACUGCGAAAGCAUUUACCAAGGAUGUUUUCAUUGAUCAAGAACGAAAGUUUGGGGAUCGAAGAUGAUUAGAUACCGUCGUAGUCCAAACCAUAAACUAUGCCAACUAGAGAUGGGGGAGUGUUAUUUAUCGACCUCCUCCGCACCUUAUGAGAAAUCAAAGUCUUUGGGUUCCGGGGGGAGUAUGGUCGCAAGGCUGAAACUUAAAGGAAUUGACGGAAGGGCACCACCAGGAGUGGAGCCUGCGGCUUAAUUUGACUCAACACGGGGAAACUCACCAGGUCCAGACAUAGUAAGGAUUGACAGAUUGAUAGAUCUUUCUUGAUUCUAUGGGUGGUGGUGCAUGGCCGAUCUUAGUUGGUGGAGUGAUUUGUCUGGUUAAUUCCGUUAACGAACGAGACCUUGACCUGCUAAAUAGACGCAAGUAUCUUCGGAUAUCUGUGCUGCUUCUUAGAUGGGACUACGGGUUCAUAAGCCCGUGGAAGUUCGAGGCAAUAUCAGGUCUGUGAUGCCCUUAGAUGUUCUGGGCUGCACGCGCGCUACACUGACAGUUUCAUCGAGCUUUUUCCUUGUCCGGUGGGAUUGGGUAAUCUUCUGAAAAACUGUCGUGAUGGGGAUAGAUUAUUGUAAUUAUUAAUCUUCAACGAGGAAUUCCUAGUAGACCCGAGUCAUCAGCUCGGAUCGAUUACGUCCCUGCCCU